AUUGAACGCUGGCGGCAUGCUUUACACAUGCAAGUCGGACGGCAGCACAGAGAAGCUUGCUUCUUGGGUGGCGAGUGGCGAACGGGUGAGUAACAUAUCGGAACGUACCGAGCAGUGGGGGAUAACUAAUCGAAAGAUUAGCUAAUACCGCAUAUAUUCUGAGGAAGAAAGCAGGGGACCAUUUGGCCUUGCGCUGUUUGAGCGGCCGAUAUCUGAUUAGCUAGUUGGUGGGGUAAAGGCCUACCAAGGCGACGAUCAGUAGCGGGUCUGAGAGGAUGAUCCGCCACACUGGGACUGAGACACGGCCCAGACUCCUACGGGAGGCAGCAGUGGGGAAUUUUGGACAAUGGGCGCAAGCCUGAUCCAGCCAUGCCGCGUGUCUGAAGAAAGGCCCUUCGGGUUGUAAAGGACUUUUGUCCAGGGAAGAAAAAGGGCGGGGGUAAUACCC
rnacentral:rRNA from 1 species